GAAGCUGACCAGACAGUCGCCGCUUCGUCGUCGUCCUCCUUCGGGGGGAGACGGGCGGAGGGGAGGAAAGUCCGGGCUCCAUAGGGCAAGGUGCCAGGUAACGCCUGGGGGGUGUCACAGCCCACGACCAGUGCAACAGAGAGCAAACCGCCGAUGGCCCGCGUAAGCGGGAUCAGGUAAGGGUGAAAGGGUGCGGUAAGAGCGCACCGCGCGGCUGGUAACAGUCCGCGGCACGGUAAACUCCACCCGGAGCAAGGCCAAAUAGGGGUUCAUAAGGUACGGCCCGUACUGAACCCGGGUAGGCUGCUUGAGCCAGUGAGCGAUUGCUGGCCUAGAUGAAUGACUGUCCACGACAGAACCCGGCUUAUCGGUCAGUUUCACUC
rnacentral:RNase_P_RNA from 1 species